rnacentral:tRNA from 1 species
GCGGGUGUCGUAUAAUGGUUAUUACCUCAGCUUCCCAAGCUGAAGAUGACGGUUCGAUUCCGUUCACCCGCUCCA